AGUGAUGCGCACUCGAAUUCUGUAGAUUUGCAGAGUAAGCUCCAUGUGAAUUUGUAUUGAUCCCACUAACAGGAAGGUUAAUUUUGUUCGCGCAUGACGCCAUUUACGCUUUAGGGACCCCCAAGUGAUAGAUACUAUGUCGUGUACGAAAAGAAAUUUGAGGGAAAAAAGGUGGAAAAUUGAUACAUGGACCAAGCUAAUAAUUUAACCCCUUUUAGCAAUAACCUCUUUUUUAAAAAUAAAAAAAAGGUGCAUAGUGUCAUCUUAAAUGGUCACUGGAUUUGCUUUCAUUUUAUCAGAAAAGAAGAGCAUAUUCUAUCACGGUUGGCGUUUUCCUAAUCUAGGCUAUUGUGAGUGCAACUCUUUUUCUACUUUCAGAUGCAUUAAUGCCAACCUUGCUGUAUGCAUUCAAGUAGUAUACCGCAUACUCCCCUA
rnacentral:lncRNA from 1 species